rnacentral:misc_RNA from 1 species
GAUGAAGAACGUAGCGAAAUGCGAUACGUAGUGUGAAUUGCAGAAUUCAGUGAAUCAUCGAAUCUUUGAACGCACAUUGCGCCCGUCAGUAUUCUGGCGGGCAUGCCUGUUCGAGCGUCAUUACGCCCCUCAAGUCCCCUGUGGACUCGGUGUUGGGGAUCGGCGAGGCUGGUUUUCCAGCACAGCCGUCCCUUAAAUUAAUUGGCGGUCUCGCCGUGGCCCUCCUCUGCGCAGUAGUAAAACACUCGCAACAGGAGCCCGGCGCGGUCCACUGCCGUAAAACCCCCCAACUUUUUAUAGUUGACCUCGAAUCAGGUAGGACUACCCGCUGAACUUAAGCAUAUCAAUAAGCGGAGGA